UACGGUUGUAAAUUGAAGUUUGUGUGUGCUAAUUGACUAUUAGUCAAGUUUCCUAGUUUUACGUUUUUUUGUUGUUUUUGUUUAUUGCAUGAUCUUUGUUUUCUAUGCUAAGAACCAAAAGUUCUGGAGAACUAUUAUCAUCAUUUAAUCUAGAACCGCAGCGAAUUGGAAAAAUGGCAGACUAGCAGGAGGCUGACAGGUUAGCAGCCUUAGCUAGAGCUCAGGUGAAUGUGCAGAAUGUCAGUCAACAAGUACGGCAUCCAAAUCUUGAGGAUGGAGAUUUGGGAGACGAGGAGUUGCUAAACCCUGGUAACCCAAGGGGUGAUAAACAAAUAGUUGCACCAGUACAGCAUAAUGCCAAUAGGAACCAUCUAUUUAUAGCAAUCCAGGAUCACCAGUCGGUCCAGUAUGACCUUAAUGAUGAUGAUGAUGGAAUGGAUGGAGAAAGUGAAACAGGUGCAAUUAUUCC
rnacentral:lncRNA from 1 species